rnacentral:rRNA from 1 species
GCUAUAAGGAUGGUUGUUUAGAUUUUGGUAUUGCAUAUCAUUUGAAGAGAAUUUUAUGGUGAUAAAAAAUAGAAAGAAAGAGUAGAGGGUUAGUUGGUUUUAUUGUUUCAAAAUAAAGAUUACUGGUUCUAGUGUUGAAAAGUCGUUCUUUCUUAUAUCUGUGUUGUUUGUUAUUAUUAGAAAAUUGUAUUAUAAGGAUUAUGGGUUGAACAUAUAAAAUUUGGAGUGUUUUUAUUGUUAGUGUUAUAACUGUUUUUUUUUUUUUAGGGUUAGUUUUUUAUUUGAUAGGUUUUUAUUAAAUGGAUAAUUUUUAAAUUAGUAGUUGUUUUGAAUUAAGUGUUCUUUUUGAAUAUAAAUUGUUAAAUGAAGGUUUGAUCAAAUGUUUUUUUUAAGACUUAGACUUUUUGAUAAAGUUGGCUUCUGCCCGGUGGUUUGGAUUUAAUGGCAGUCUUAGCGUGAGGACAUUAAGGUAGCAAAAUAAUUUGUGCUUUUAUUGAGUUCUAGUAUGAAUGAAGUUAUUGGUUGAUUUUUUUCAUUUUUUUUAUAUGAAUUUGGAUAAAUAUAAAAAUUUAUUUGUAUAGUUGUACAAAGAUAAGUCUUUGGAAAUUCUUUUUAGUUUUAUAAUUUUGUUUUAUAUUUCUAAAAAUUUUCUAGGGUAGAAUAUUAUGUAGUGUUUUUGUUCUAUUUAAUAGGUUGAGGAAUUACUCCAGAGUUAACAGAAAAUCAUACCUGAUCUAGUUCUGAUAGUAAGGUAAGUUUUACAUCGAUGUUGUAUUUAAGUAUAUUAAGGAGGAGAAGAUUUGAUUUUUGAGACUGUUCUUCUUUUAAUUAACUUAACGUGAUAUUAGUUUAAUUCAUCGUGAGAUAGAAUUGUUUAUCUUGAUAAUUAUUUGUAGUUAGUUUUGUUAGUACGAAAGGAAAAUUAUAAAAAGUUAGUAACUUUUAGGGAUAUUAAUAGUUCA